GGUUGGGACUUGGGAGGAGUAACUCAAGAAAUCUAGUUGCUUUUAACACCCACUUAAAGAAGAAAGAGAUUGAUGGAUGCGUAUCAACCGAUCAAAAGAAGCGGAUCAAGCUUGCAGUUCCUGAAUAAUCCGUUUGAAGACACUACGUAUACGAAGGUGUUCGUUGGAGGACUUGCAUUCUGGGAGAUCAAAAGGAUAUGGAUUUGUUUGUAUGAAUUGUGGAACAUAUUGGAACGUUUGCGGUUGAUUUGAAAGAAGAAAAACGACAACAAUACACGGAUUGAGGUAUUAUACGCAAUCUGCAGAUGAAAUACGCCAUCGGGGUCACUAUAUUCGCGGUUGAUUUGAAAGAGCAAAAAUGGCCCAAAGAGCCUUUGUUAUAACUUGGGCACUAGUUCUUCUUCACUUGUUCGCAAAGCAAAAAUGGCCCAAAGAGCCUUUGUUAUAACUUGGGCACUAGUUCUUCUUUACUUGUUAUAACUUUGAGCCCAACCCUUACCAACCCAUGAAUUUAAUCUUCCUAUACUAAUAAACAAAAAUCUUUUUUGGACACGUGUUACUCUCUGGUGCCUCCUCCCUUUUAAUAAUAGUAUUACAUAUUAAUUUUAUACACAAAAUAUAAUAUAAUAUUAAUUGGGUUAUUAGAUUUUAUCAUCUCUAACUAUUGGAUAUUGGCCGCUACCACCCCCAACUAUCACUUUGAUGCCCAUCACCCCCAACUUAACACUUUGUGUGUUCUGUCACCACGUCGUUAAUUGAUCACUAACUUUUGAUCCUGUUACUACACUCCUUGGGAUUUCGUAGGGAUCUUGGGAAGGUUUUAGGGAUCUUAGGACACCUCCAACAGUAUAGUAAUAUGAUCAAAAGUUAGUGAUCUGGUGACAAAACAUACUAAGUGUUAAGUUGGGGGGUGGCAAACGUCAUAGUGAUAGUUGGAGGUGGCAGCGGCCAAUGACCAAUAGUUAAGGGUGAUAAAAUCCAAUAACCUAUAUUAAUUAAUAUAGUUAGAGAUAAACAUCUACAUUCAAAUUUAAUUAACAAUUAUCUAUAGCAAAUAUAAAUGUAUCAAAUAAUAUAAUAAGUAUAAUAUUAUUUAAUAUAGUUAGAGAUCAAACGUACACCCUCUGUAAAAAAUUCAAAAGACCUUUUGUAAGGUUAAGUUGUCUAAGUUCUCACACCUCGUACAAGUUUUUAUUUUACCCUAACCAUAUAUAUUUGUUCAGAUAAAGUAUAUUAUUUGGAUAUAAACAAUAAUUACUAAUAAAGUAUAAAUCACAUGUGCAAGUAACGAAAAUAUAACUGUUCUUUUAUUUUACUAAUUUAUCUAAAUAAGUCAUUUCAUUAAUAAGGAUUAUAUACAAGUUUAUAAUUUACAUGUUUCACCAUUCAACCUGUGUAAUACACGGGGUUGUAAGCUAAUUAUUUAAAUAUGCACAAACUAUGUUUUUAUAUGCAAUAUAAGACUUGGUUGUCUGAAUAUAAAUUAUAUGAAAUAUCUAAAAAGGGAUAACCACGUGAUAAAAUAAUUUAGUCAUUUUUAAACUAAAAACAUACUCCCAUAACACUAUAUGGCGUGAAGGCGUUUGAAAAUGGGGUGUUAUAUGACAUAUGAACGAGAUAUAAGAACAUGUCAGAAAUAGGGUGUGGAGAAAAAAGGGGAGGUGUGGGACGGGCGUGGAAGUGUGGUGUUAUUCGACACGUGACACAAUUUUUUUAUUGUUAAAUUAUAUUUAAAAAUUAUAUAAAAUGUAUUUAAUUAAAGAAACAUUAAAUUAACAAAUAACAUUAAUAAUUAAACAUUACAUAGCUUAAAAAUUAAAAACAUUUC
rnacentral:lncRNA from 1 species